rnacentral:rRNA from 1 species
ACACUCCUGCGGGAGGCAGCAGUGGGGAAUUUUGGACAAUGGGCGAAAGCCUGAUCCAGCAAUGCCGCGUGAGUGAAGAAGGCCUUCGGGUUGUAAAGCUCUUUUGUCAGGGAAGAAACGGUGAAAGCUUAUAUCUUUUGCUAAUGACGGUACCUGAAGAAAAAGCACCGGCUAACUACGUGCCAGCAGCCGCGGUAAUACGUAGGGUGCAAGCGUUAAUCGGAAUUACUGGGCGUAAAGCGUGCGCAGGCGGUUUUGUAAGUCUGAUGUGAAAUCCCCGGGCUCAACCUGGGAAUUGCAUUGGAGACUGCAAGGCUAGAAUGUAGCAGAGGGGGGUAGAAUUCCACGUGUAGCAGUGAAAUGCGUAGAUAUGUGGAGGAACACCGAUGGCGAAGGCAGCCCCCUGGGUCAAGAUUGACGCUGAUGCACGAAAGCGUGGGGAGCAAACAGGAUUAGAAACCCGGGUAGUCCCAUGA